ensembl:snRNA U1 U1 spliceosomal RNA
AUACUUACCUGGCAGAGGAGAUACCAUGAUCAUGAAGGUGGUUUUCCCAGGGUGAGGCUUAUCCAUUGCACUCCGGAUGUGCUGAUCCUUGUGAUUUCCCCAAAUGUGGGAAACUCCACUGCACAAUUUGUGGUAGUGGGAGACUGCGUUCGCACUGUCCCCUG